GGAGAAGUCGUAACAAGGUUUCCGUAGGUGAACCUGCGGAAGGAUC
rnacentral:rRNA from 3 species